CCUACGGGAGGCAGCAGUGGGGAAUAUUGGGCAAUGGAGGCAACUCUGACCCAGCAACGCCGCGUGAGCGAUGAAGGUCUUCGGAUUGUAAAGCUCUUUAAGUGGGGACGAAGAAAGUGACUGUACCCACAGAAUAAGCCUCGGCUAACUACGUGCCAGCAGCCGCGGUAAUACGUAGGAGGCAAGCGUUAUCCGGAAUGACUGGGCGUAAAGGGUGCGUAGGUGGUUUGGCAAGUUGGUAGCGUAAUUCCGGGGCUCAACCUCGGAUCUACUACCAAAACUGUCGGGCUUGAGUGCAGGAGGGGUAAAUGGAAUUCCUAGUGUAGCGGUGGAAUGCGUAGAGAUUAGGAAGAACACCAGCGGCGAAGGCGAUUUACUGGACUGUAACUGACACUGAGGC
rnacentral:rRNA from 1 species